AUUGAACGCUGGCGGCAGGCCUAACACAUGCAAGUCGAACGAGUUGCGGACGGGUGAGUAAUGUCUGGGAAACUGCCUGCUGGAGGGGGAUCACUACUGUAAACGGUAGCUAAUACCGCAUACCAUCGGAUGUGCCCAGAUGGGUUUAGCUAGUAGGUGGGGUAACGGCUCACCUAGGCCACGAUCUCUAGCUGGUCUGAGAGGAUGACCGUCCACAGCGGAACUGAGACACGGUCCAGACUCCUACGGGAGGCAGCAGUGGGGAGUAUUGCACAAUGGGCGCAAGCCUGAUGCAGCCAGGCCGCGUGGAUGAAGAAGGACUGCGGGUUGUAAAGUACUUUCAGCGGGGAGGCGGUACCCGCAGAAGAAGCACCGGCUAACGCCGUGCCAGCAGCCGCGGUAAUUC
rnacentral:rRNA from 1 species